UGUCCUUCUACAGUCACUUAGUGCACAGGUCCUCAGCAUGGGAUGGAGCUGCAUUAUUUUCUUCCUGGUAUCAGUAAUUACAGGUGUCCAUUCCCAGGUCCAGCUGAAGCAGUCCGGUCCUGAACUGGGGAAACCUGGGGCCUCAGUGAAGCUGUCCUGCAAGACUUCAGGCUACACUUUCACAAGUUACUAUAUUUCCUGGGUGAAGCAGAAGCCUGUAGAAGGCCUGGAGUGGAUUGGAUGGGUUUAUGGUGGAAGUGGUGGUGCUAGCUACAAUCCGAACUUCCAGGGCAAGGCCACACUGACUGCAGAUAAAUCCUCCAGCACAGCCUAUAUGGAGCUCAGCAGCCUGACAUCUGAGGAUUCUGCCAUCUAUUAUUGUGCAAUAGACACAGUGUUGAAACCACAUCCUGAGUGUGACAGAAACCAUGGAGGAUCAGGAAGCUGCCCUCAGACUGAGAAGACAGAGAAAAUAAUCCUGGAGCUGGAAAAGCAAACAAGGUCUCUAUUUGCUCUUGAGAACCUGGACAUCUCUCCACCUCCACAUAAUGCUGAUGAGUCCAGUCCUGAAUACCAAGACUUCCAUUCAGCAAUGCCACUGAAGGCAGACCACUCACAUGGAGUUGUUCAUAAGUGGAGAUUUCCUCGUUGCUUCUAA